GCUCUGCGGCAGCUCGCGCGGCGUAGGGAUUUUUCUCCUGUAGGUGGCGCGGCUGCGUCGCUCUUGAAGAAAGUCUCCGGAGUUUUGUUAGAGGGAUUCUCAGGUUGAGUUAAGUUAAAACAGACGUGAGGUGUCGGAAAAGCACGAGUUCGGUUCUCCGGAAGAAUUGUCUCUGGCCGCCACCUGCAGAGAGACGCAAAGGCCCCAGAACGCUGAGGAGCCAAUCAGAUCGCACCAAAGCUAGAGACGUGAGGCAGCUGCAGAAGGAAAGAGGUGUCAAGCCUUGAAGUCGCUUGAGCAGCUGGCAGGAAUGGCAAAGCGUGGCUGGAGCCUAGAUCUGUCUGUGCUCAUGGUCCCGGGGACAUACACUGCCACUCUUCACAACGGCUACAGUGGUGUUUAUGUGUCCCUUCUGGAAGCAGGCCUCUGUCUUGGUCCACUGGUACAGAUAUAACUGACUUGUAGAUCGGCUGAGGUAAGAGGGGCACCCCAGUGUUCUCUCCUUUUUGUGGUGUUACAGGUACAGAGAGACCCACACUAUAUGAGGGAAAGACAUAUAUGUUUCAGGGAAAUGGGUGCUGGGUGCAGACUCCACCAAGAAAUGGAAAUUCACCAUUUUUUGGAGGCAAAAGAAAAAUCAGCUAUAUAUUUGUAUAUAUCAAAAUAAAAAUAGGAAGUAGCAGACAGACAACAAAACAUCAUCAAAUUGUGAGUUUUCAACAUUCAGCAGAGAUGACUAAAGGCGCUGCAUAAAGGCAGCUGGAAUCUCCCCCUGGAAAGUCCCGGGUGGAUCAGAGCGUCCUCCAAGAAGAACAAAUGCAAGCAGGAUACAACAGAUAAUACUAUCAGAUUGGACACUCACAGUCAUCCAUCAGAAAUGAUUCGGGAAGCCCUGCUGAGGCAACCAAGCUCACUGGAGACACCUGGCUGGAAAAAAGUGUCCUCUCGGGUGAGGCUUCCAAGGAAAAGAACAAAUGCAGGCGGCAGGCAGAUAACAACAAAGCUGGUGGAAGGGGCCACUGCUGCUUGAUCGAGAGUUCCAGCUGGGUAGAGGGCUCUCACCGUGGCCUUGAGUCGGCUCCUGCUUCCUGCUCCAGCCAUUUUUAUACCAUCAGUACGCUUCCAGCAGCGCCUCUGAUGGAAGUUGUGUACCUUCCAGUUGUUCACAAGGACACAAGGGUUUGUCACUGCUGUUAUUUUACAUUUCUUUAUUCUGAGGGUGGGGUGCAUAUACUAAACUUGUAGGUCAGCUCUCACCUUCUACCACCUAAGUCCUGGAUAUCAGACUUUUAUUUUUAUUUAUGUGUAUGUGUGUGCACUGUGUGUGCACAGAAGCCCUUGGAGGUCAGAAGAUCUGAUGGAAACUCUGGAACUAGAGUUACAGGUAGUUGUGAGCCACUGGGUGGUACCAGGAAUUGAACCCAGGUCCUCUGGAAGAGCAGAAAGUGCUCUUAAUCACUGAGCCAUCUCUCCAGUCCUCCUCUUGGACACAAUGUUUUUAAGUACACUUCUUACUGAUGUAGGAUUCCCCUCUGUAUUCUGUGAGUAUCGUUGGUUAAUAAAGGAACUGCUUUGGGCCUAUAACAGCUAUAGGGGAACAGAUCUAGGUGGGGAAAACUAAACAGAAUGCUGGGAGA